rnacentral:lncRNA from 1 species
UGAGUGAAAAGAUCACUUACCUCUGAGACUUGACAGAACAGUGUUCGCAACAUAUUUCACCGAGUUGUCUGACAGUUCCCUCAAGUUUCUUACCACAGAAGGUAGCAGAUUUUACAAUCAUGGGAAAACUCAGAAACAUUAUCAGAAGAAAAAUGGAAAGAAUACAGGGGGAUCAUUUUGAAAGAAAGCACCCUCUUGCAAGAUGAGGACAAUUUUCAACUCCAGGUUUUGGUCUCCUAUCAAGAAAAGGAUAUGGGGGUUUUAAUGAGACUGAUGAAACUACUCAGGAAGAUAAGAAAUCCCAACAAGUUUGAACACAGCUUGAUACACCUACGGUCAACCUUAUUUGGCUCCUAAAUUCUGUUUUUCUUCAUUUGGAUCUCUACCUUUUCAUCUGUCAUUGCUGCACAGACUUUAAAUUCAGUGUCAAAUCUCAAAUACAUUGCUGAUAAAAAAAAAAAUCUUUAGUUAUAUACAUAGGUUUCUAACCUUAGUCAUGAUUUGUUUUCCCUUUUGUACAUGAUAGUAUUGAAAGGAGUGACUUAGACAUAGGUUUAUAGGAAGGACUUAGAAAUUCAGAAAAUUUCCCAAGGCUACUAAACCUGCUUAAACCCCCCAAGAAUUCCCUCUUACAUAUAACCUCCAUCUUCCUUUAAAUUUAACGAACAUAGUUUAAAUAUUCUUUGCAAGGCCCUUCUCUCACUUUUAGCCAUUAUAUUGGAACAACUUUUUUUUCCUUACACUUUUUCAAAAUUCUAAGUCACAGAAAAAUUUGUGGCUCGCCUAUUUGAAAAUUCUACCGAAUUUAUCAAGAGCUAAAAUCAAUCCAAAGGCAAAACAAAAACAGCCAAAUGUAGAAAAUUAUCAAACUAUUUUUUUUCUUUUUUCUUUUUGAAGUCAGUCAUUCUAGU